GAUGAAGAACGUAGCGAAAUGCGAUACGUAAUGUGAAUUGCAAAUUCAGUGAAUCAUCGAGUCUAUGAACGCACAUUGCGCCCCCUGGUAUUCCGGGGGGCAUGCCUGUCCGAGCGUCAUUGCUGCCCUCAAGCACGGCUUGUGUGUUGGGCCCCGUCCUCCGAUUCCGGGGGACGGGCCCGAAAGGCAGCGGCGGCACCGCGUCCGGUCCUCGAGCGUAUGGGGCUUUGUCACCCGCUCUGUAGGCCCGGCCGGCGCUUGCCGAUCAACCCAAAUUUUUAUCCAGGUUGACCUCGGAUCAGGUAGGGAUACCCGCUGAACUUAAGCAUAUCAAUAAGCGGAGGA
rnacentral:misc_RNA from 1 species